GAUGAACGCUGGCGGCGUGCCUAAUACAUGCAAGCCGAGCGAACGGACGGGAAGCUUGCUUUUCUGAUGUUAGCGGCGGACGGGUGAGUAACACGUGGAUAACCUACCUAUAAGACUGGGAUAACUUCGGGAAACCGGAGCUAAUACCGGAUAAUAUUUUGAACCGCAUGGUUCAAAAGUGAAAGACGGUCUUGCUGUCACUUAUAGAUGGAUCCGCGCUGCAUUAGCUAGUUGGUAAGGUAACGGCUUACCAAGGCAACGAUGCAUAGCCGACCUGAGAGGGUGAUCGGCCACACUGGAACUGAGACACGGUCCAGACUCCUACGGGAGGCAGCAGUAGGGAAUCUUCCGCAAUGGGCGAAAGCCUGACGGAGCAACGCCGCGUGAGUGAUGAAGGUCUUCGGAUCGUAAAACUCUGUUAUUAGGGAAGAACAUAUGUGUAAGUAACUGUGCACAUCUUGACGGUACCUAAUCAGAAAGCCACGGCUAACUACGUG
rnacentral:rRNA from 1 species